rnacentral:rRNA from 1 species
CCCUUAGAUGUUCGGGGCCGCACGCGCGCUACACUGAUGGGGACAGCGUGUUUGCCAUUCCUGGUCCGGCAGGAUUGGGCAAUCCGUUGAACCCCCGUCGUGAUUGGGAUCGGAGCUUGUAACUAUUCUCCGUAAACGAGGAAUUCCCAGUAAGCGCAAGUCAUCAGCUUGCGUUGAAUACGUCCCUGCCCUUUGUACACACCGCCCGUCGCUCCUACCGAUUGAGUGGUCCGGUGAGGCUUUGGGAUCUGAGCGGAAAGAGCGUUUCGCUGUUUCUGCCCGGAAAACUCAGUCGAACCUUAUCAUUUAGAGGAAGGAGAAGUCGUAACA